ACCCAGACUCCUACGGGAGGCAGCAGUGAGGAAUAUUGGUCAAUGGGCGAGAGCCUGAACCAGCCAAGUCGCGUGAGGGAAGACGGUCCUAUGGAUUGUAAACCUCUUUUGUCGGGGAGCAAAAAGGCCUCGUGAGGCCACAAGUGAGAGUACCCGAAGAAAAAGCAUCGGCUAACUCCGUGCCAGCAGCCGCGGUAAUACGGAGGAUGCGAGCGUUAUCCGGAUUUAUUGGGUUUAAAGGGUGCGUAGGCGGACUGGAAAGUCAGCGGUAAAAUCGGGAGGCUCAACCUCUUUCCGCCGUUGAAACUGCAUCCCUUGAGUGCGCGAGAAGUAUGCGGAAUGCGUGGUGUAGCGGUGAAAUGCAUAGAUAUCACACAGAACACCGAUUGCGAAGGCAUCUCACGAAUCCGCGAUUGACGCUGAUGCACGAAAGCGUGGGUAUCAAACAGGAUUAGAUACCCGAGUA
rnacentral:rRNA from 1 species